rnacentral:rRNA from 1 species
GACAGAGGGGGCAAGCGUUGCUCGGAAUCACUGGGCGUAAAGGGCGCGUAGGCGGGAUGGCAAGUCGGUCGUGAAAUCCUUCGGCUCAACCGAAGAACGUCGGCCGAUACUGCCGUUCUUGAGGGAUGCAGAGGAGAUUGGAAUUCCCGGUGUAGCGGUGAAAUGUGUAGAGAUCGGGAGGAACACCGGUGGCGAAGGCGGGUCUCUGGGCAUUUCCUGACGCUGAGGAGCGAAAGCGUGGGGAGCGAACAGG